CACUCGGACUCUUUAAGCCACACAUGCAGAGCCAUGAUCCACUGCCCUGUGUUUUAAUAAAAACCUGGCUCAGUGAACACAUCCCAGAUAGCUCAUGACACCCACCGAACUUUCAGCUCUUCAGAGGGGCCCGCGUAAGAGAGCUCUCUGGGACAAUGAGGGGAGGAUGAAUAUGCUUCUAAAUGAGCAAAGGAUCCUGUUCACGGACUUCAGCUACCAUCAUCCUGGAUAUCUAUCACCUUAAACUCACCCAACUCACAGUGCCAGCCUCUACCUGUCAGUUGAUCACCAACUUCCUGACUGACAGUACCUCAGAGGACCCUUCUGUGAAACUCCUAAAGUUUGCGGACGACGCCAUCGUAAUCGGUCUCGUCCAGGAUGCCAAAGAGUCUGCAUAAAGACGGAAGGUGGAACAGCAAGUGCAGUCAGAACCAUCUGUAGCUGAACCCGCUCAAACCUGUGGCGAUGACUGUGGACUUGAAGUGUAGACCCUCACCAUUCUGAAUAGCACAUUAUUUACAAUGGACUCUCUCUGGUUCCAGGGAUCCACAAUCUCAUCGGAUCUGAAGUGAACCUCCCGCAUUGACACAAUCAAAUAGAAGACACGGCACAGGAUGUCCUUUUUGUGUCAGCUUAAGAAGUUCAACCUACCCUCGGAGCUGCUGAUCAUGUUUCACACCUCCAUCCUUCAGUCUGUCCUGUGGACCCCCAUUUAUGUCUGGAUUGGAUCUGCAACCAAGCUAGACAGACACAGACUGCAAUGGACAAUCAGGAAUUCAGAAAAGCAAUGAUGACCUCUCCUCCAUCCAGGACUUAUACCACUCUAGUCACAGACUGAUAAAACUCUUCCUCUCAGCAGAUGUUACAAAUCACUGUACGGCUAAACAACUUGUCAUGAGAACAGUUUUCCCCCCCUGGCUAUCACUGAUGAACACUUAACAGUCACAAAGUGUCAGACGUGUUGCUGUGAAAUAUCCCUGAAACUAAUCUGUCGCUGUGAACGUACCAACUCAUGUUCACUCCAUCAUCCUUUUGCUUUAUUCGCCACUGCACUGUUGUAUUAUUAGCCUUGCACGUAUUGGUUAUUUAAGUGCUGUUGUACUUGUUUAAUUGGCAAUAUUCAUAGUUUACAUUUUGCAAGGAGAGCACAGUCUAUCAAGUCAAAUUCCUUGUGUUAAACAUACCUUGCCAGUAAAGCUGAUUCUGAUUCUAAUCUUAAGGCCUUUCUCUGGAACCUUUUGACAGGGUUAACAGCGCGGAACAUAUCUGAUUGGAUGAUUUUUUUUUUUUUUUAAUGGGAUGACAACAUUCUCAGAUACAAUAAGCUCAGGCUUUUAUAGUAGUUAGCGUUCCUAACAACAAUAAAGCAUUCCUCUUUGAAUGAGGUGACAUUGAGGUAAAUAACUUUCAAA